AUACCUGGCAGAGGAGACACCAUGAUCACAAAUGUGGCUUUCCCACGGCGAUGCUUACCCAUUGCAUUCUGGAUGAGCUGAUCCUUGAUGUUUCCCCAAAUGUGGAAAAAUCAGCUGCAUAAUUUGUGGUACUGGGAUCUCUGUUCCCAC
rnacentral:snRNA from 1 species